AUGAAGAUGUUUCUCAUGUUCAUCGUGCUGGUCCAGUUUCAUGGACUGACUGCCAAGUCUGUGACUCAGUCUCCUGUUAUAAAGUCUGCUGGUCUGGGGGAGACGCUGUCCUUUACCUGUACAGCCAGUCCAGGAGUUGAUGAUGAUCUCAGCUGGUACCUGCAGAAACCGGGUCAGCCUCCUAAACUGCUGUUUUAUCAAAUCAGUCAGCGCUGGUCUGCUCCGAGUCACUUUAGUAGCAGUGGAUCUGAGCCUGAAUUCACUCUGACAAUCAGAGGAGUUCAGACUGAAGAUGCAGGAGAUUAUUACUGUUUGGGUUUACAUCCCGGCGAUGUGUUCACACAGUGA